rnacentral:rRNA from 1 species
GAUGAACGCUAGCGACAGGCUUAACACAUGCAAGUCGAGGGGCAGCACGGUGUAGCGAUACACUGGUGGCGACCGGCGCACGGGUGAGUAACACGUAUCCAACCUUCCGGUUACUCGGGGAUAGCCUUUCGAAAGAAAGAUUAAUACCCGAUAGUAUAAAUUUUCCGCAUGGUUUGUUUAUUAAAGAUUCAUCGGUAACCGAUGGGGAUGCGUUCCAUUAGAUAGUAGGCGGGUAACGGCCCACCUAGCCGACGAUGGAUAGGGGUUCUGAGAGGAAGGUCCCCCACAUUGGAACUGAGACACGGUCCAAACUCCUACGGGAGGCAGCAGUGAGGAAUAUUGGUCAAUGGGCGAGAGCCUGAACCAGCCAAGUAGCGUGAAGGAUGACUGCCCUAUGGGUUGUAAACUUCUUUUUAAUAACGGGAAUAACACGCGGCACGUGUGCCGCUCUGCAUGUACCGUAUGAAUAAGCAUCGGCUAACUCCGUGCCAGCCGCCGCAGUAAU